rnacentral:rRNA from 1 species
AGUGAACGCUGGCGGUAGGCCUAACACAUGCAAGUCGAACGGCAGCACAGUAAGAGCUUGCUCUUACGGUUGGCGAGUGGCGGACGGGUGAGGAAUACAUCGGAAUCUACUUUUUCGUGGGGGAUAACGUAGGGAAACUUACGCUAAUACCGCAUACGACCUACGGGUGAAAGCAGGGGUUCUUCGGACCUUGCCCGAUUGAAUGAGCCGGUGUCGGAUUAGCUAGUUGGGGGGGUAAAGGCCCACCAAGGCGACGAUCCGUAGCUGGUCUGAGAGGAUGAUCAGCCACACUGGAACUGAGACACGGUCCAGACUCCUACGGGAGGCAGCAGUGGGGAAUAUUGGACAAUGGGCGCAAGCCUGAUCCAGCCAUACCGCGUGGGUGAAGAAGGCCUUCGGGUUGUAAAGCCCUUUUGUUGGGAAAGAAAAGCAGCAGGUUAAUACCCCGCUGUUCUGACGGUACCCAAAGAAUAAGCACCGGCUAACUUCGUG